AUUGAACGCUGGCGGCAUGCCUUACACAUGCAAGUCGAACGGUAACGCGGGGCAACCUGGCGACGAGUGGCGAACGGGUGAGUAAUAUAUCGGAACGUGCCCAGUAGUGGGGGAUAGCCCGGCGAAAGCCGGAUUAAUACCGCAUGAGACCUGAGGGUGAAAGCGGGGGAUCGCAAGACCUCGCGCUAUUGGAGCGGCCGAUAUCAGAUUAGGUAGUUGGUGGGGUAAAGGCCUACCAAGCCGACGAUCUGCAGCUGGUCUGAGAGGACGACCAGCCACACUGGGACUGAGACACGGCCCAGACUCCUACGGGAGGCAGCAGUGGGGAAUAUUGGACAAUGGGCGAAAGCCUGAUCCAGCAAUGCCGCGUGAGUGAUGAAGGCCUUAGGGUUGUAAAGCUCUUUUACCAGGGAUGAUAAUGACAGUACCUGGAGAAUAAGCUCCGGCUAACUCCGUGCCAGCAGCCGCGGUAAUGUGACU
rnacentral:rRNA from 1 species